rnacentral:rRNA from 1 species
UACGUAGGGUGCAAGCGUUGCCCGGAUUUAUUGGGCGUAAAGAGCGUGUAGGCGGCCAGAUAGGUCUGCUGUGAAAACUCGAGGCUCAACCUCGAGAUGUCGGCGGAAACCAUUUGGCUAGAGUCCGGAAGAGGAAAGUGGAAUUCCUGGUGUAGCGGUGAAAUGCGCAGAUAUCAGGAAGAACACCCGUGGCGAAGGCGGCUUUCUGGGACGGUACUGACGCUGAGACGCGAAAGCGUGGGGAGCGAACAGG